rnacentral:rRNA from 1 species
GACGAACGCUGGCGGCGUGCUUAACACAUGCAAGUCGAACGGAAAGGCCCUGCUUUUGUGGGGUGCUCGAGUGGCGAACGGGUGAGUAACACGUGAGUAACCUGCCCUUGACUUUGGGAUAACUUCAGGAAACUGGGGCUAAUACCGGAUAGGAGCUCCUGCUGCAUGGUGGGGGUUGGAAAGUUUCGGCGGUUGGGGAUGGACUCGCGGCUUAUCAGCUUGUUGGUGGGGUAGUGGCUUACCAAGGCUUUGAAGGGUCGCCGGCCUGAGAGGGUGACCGGCGACAUUGGGACUGAGAUACGGCCCAGACUCCUACGGGAGGCAGCAGUGGGGAAUAUUGCACAAUGGUCGGAAGUCUGAGACAGCAACGCCGCGUGCGGGAUGACGGCCUGCUGGUUGUAAACCGCUUUCGCCUGUGACGAAGCGUGAGUGACGGUAAUGAGUAAAGAAGCACCGGCUAACUACGUG